GAUGAACGCUGACAGAAUACUUAACACAUGCAAGUCGAUGGGGAAGUGGUGCUUGCACCAUGGCAACCAUGGCGGACGGGUGAGUAACGCGUAAGGGACUUACCUGCAGGACUGGGAUAACAGGGGGAAACUCCUGACAAGACCGGAUAAUGUCAUGGAGCUGCAUGGCUUUAUGAUGAAAGGAGACGCCUGCGGAGAGCCUUGCGUCCUAUUAGCUAGUUGGUGAGGUAAUGGCUCACCAAGGCGAAGAUAGGUAGCCGGCCUGAGAGGGUGGACGGCCACAAGGGGACUGAGAUACGGCCCUUACUCCUACGGGAGGCAGCAGUGGGGAAUAUUGGACAAUGGGGGCAACCCUGAUCCAGCAAUUCUGUGUGCACGAAGAAGGUUUUCGGAUUGUAAAGUGCUUUCAGCAGGGAAGAAGUAAGUGACGGUACCUGCAGAAGAAGCGACGGCUAAAUACGUG
rnacentral:rRNA from 1 species